rnacentral:rRNA from 1 species
UGCGUAGGCGGAUUAAUAAGUCAGUGGUGAAAACCUGCAGCUUAACUGCAGACCUGCCAUUGAUACUGUUAGUCUUGAGUACGGUCAAGGUAGGCGGAAUGUGUAAUGUAGCGGUGAAAUGCUUAGAUAUUACACAGAACACCGAUUGCGAAGGCAGCUUACUGGGCCAUUACUGACGCUGAGGCACGGAAGCGUGGGGAGCGAACAGGAUUAGAUACCCUGGUAGUCC